rnacentral:rRNA from 1 species
CGGGUGAGUAACGCGUGGGUAACCUGCCUCAUACAGGGGAGUAACAGUUAGAAAUGACUGCUAAUACCGCAUAAGCACACAGUACCGCAUGGUACAGUGUGAAAAACUCCGGUGGUAUGAGAUGGACCUGCGUCUGAUUAGCUAGUUGGCGGGGUAACGGCCCACCAAGGCAACGAUCAGUAGCCGACCUGAGAGGGUGACCGGCCACAUUGGGACUGAGACACGGCCCAA